UACGUAGGGUGCGAGCGUUGUCCGGAAUUAUUGGGCGUAAAGAGCUUGUAGGCGGUUUGUCGCGUCUGCUGUGAAAAUCCGGGGCUCAACCUUGGGCUUGCAGUGGGUACGGGCAGACUAGAGUGCGGUAGGGGUGACUGGAAUUCCUGGUGUAGCGGUGGAAUGCGCAGAUAUCAGGAGGAACACCGAUGGCGAAGGCAGGUCACUGGGCCGCAACUGACGCUGAGGAGCGAAAGCGUGGGGAGCGAACAGG
rnacentral:rRNA from 1 species